rnacentral:rRNA from 1 species
UACGUAGGGUGCGAGCGUUGUCCGGAAUUAUUGGGCGUAAAGAGCUCGUAGGCGGUUUGUCGCGUCUGCUGUGAAAACCCGAGGCUCAACCUCGGGCCUGCAGUGGGUACGGGCAGACUAGAGUGCGGUAGGGGAGAUUGGAAUUCCUGGUGUAGCGGUGGAAUGCGCAGAUAUCAGGAGGAACACCGAUGGCGAAGGCAGAUCUCUGGGCCGUUACUGACGCUGAGGAGCGAAAGCAUGGGGAGCGAACAGG